rnacentral:rRNA from 1 species
GACGAACGCUGGCGACGUGCUUAACACGUGCAAGUCGAGCGAUGAAGUUCCUUCGGGAAUGGAUUAGCGGCGGACGGGUGAGUAACACGUGGGUAACCUGCCUCAUAGAGGGGAAUAGCCUUUCGAAAGGAAGAUUAAUACCGCAUAAGAUUGUAGCUUCGCAUGAAGUAGCAAUUAAAGGAGUAAUCCGCUAUGAGAUGGACCCGCGUCGCAUUAGCUAGUUGGUGAGGUAACGGCUCACCAAGGCGACGAUGCGUAGCCGACCUGAGAGGGGGAUCGGCCACAUUGGGACUGAGACACGGCCCAGACUCCUACGGGAGGCAGCAGUGGGGAAUAUUGCACAAUGGGGGAAACCCUGAUGCAGCAACGCCGCGUGAGUGAUGACGGUCUUCGGAUUGUAAAGCUCUGUCUUCAGGGACGAUAAUGACGGUACCUGAGGAGGAAGCCACGGCUAACUACGUGCCAGCCGCCGCCGAAA